CCUCGUCUUUCCCGCCAUGUCGUUUGUGGAGAGCGGGCGGCGCUCCGCUCCUCUGCGCCGACGCCUCGGCACCCCUGUUCCGUUUGCCCGGCCGGCUUUUACCGCCUUCACUCAGGGGGACAGUUGGGGUGAAGGUGAAGGGGACGAGGAGGACGGAUGCGACCAAGUGGCCCGCGACCUGCGGGCGGAGUUUUCAGCCGGGGCGUCGUCGGAGCCUAGAAAGGGCUCGCUACUCCAGCGGGACAGGGACGGGUCGCCGGUUCUGCCCGAUAAGCGCAAUGGCAUUUUCUCAACGGUUGCGGGCGGACGAGCCCAGGCCCGGCGGUGGCCUGUCCAGAUCCUCUCAAUUCUCUGUUCGCUGCUGUUCGCCAUCCUCCUCGCCUUCCUCCUCGCCAUCGCCUACUUGAUCGUAAAAGAGUUACAUGCUGAAAAUUUGAAGACUGAAGACGUAGACACUGGGCUACUAGGAUUCUGGACUCUACUUAUAAUCUCUCUAUCUGCCGGAUUCUCCUGUUGUAGCUUUUCUUGGACAGUGACUUAUUUUGACUCUUUUGAACCAGGAAUGUUUCCUCCUACUCCUCUUUCACCUGCCAGGUUCAAUUUUUUACAGGACUUCACAAGUAAGUCAUAGGAGAGGAAACCUGCGGGCAGGGGUUGUCUUUCUUUCCGGAGAGAAGAAAAUCAUGGAAACUGACUGGACACUCUUUCCACAUGGGCUAUAGCAUGGCAAUUUUGAAUGGCAUUGUAGCUGCUUUUACUGUAGCAUGGUGCCUCAUGUAAACCUACACCGAAGCAAUAUUUUUGGCAAAACCUAGUCAUGAUUGCUUUGUAAUCACAGGGAAGAACAUCAUUUGCCUACUCAGAAGACCAAGAAACCUGCUGUUCGUUAUGUGGUUCAGAUAUGUAUCAUAUCAUCGACAUUAUGGAGGACCAUCUUUUGUUGUUGUUUUUUAAAGGAGGACCUUCAUAACCAUCAUUCUAGAGCUUAGGCAUUGAGAAUAUCUGAGUAUUAAGUUUCAAGUAAUUUCUUAAAAGUGUAAGAUGUUUACCUCAUCUUUUUACUUUUGUAUGUGUUGUCCUUAUAAAUUAUAGAAAACAUUUUAAUGGAGAUCAAACAUAAAAACUUGAAUACAGGGCAAUGCUUACCUUGCUAUCUAUAAUACUACAUUUUUGCUAAGAAGUACUAGUAGUACUGUUUAACUGAAAUGGAAAUACUUCUUAUUUAUUCAUUAAAUGAGGAAAGCAAACAAUGCCUACUACUUUGACAUUUUAUAGAAGCUACUUUUAAAUCAGAAUAUUUAGUUUUCAGUAGUCAUAUAAUCAGUAGAAGGGUGCAUUUAUAUUUUUUAAUGGGGUAUAGUUCCUUACGCGGUUUUUGGGUUUUUUUUUUUUUUACAUAUUUUCUACUACAUACUGAAUUCGUAUGUUUUUAAAAUUGUUACAUUAGACAAAUGUAAAUGUUAUUUUUUAGUUGGUGCAAACCUAAUACCUACAAUUUUAAAUGAGUAUUUUGUCUUUUAAAAAAAGCAAAACAAAAAAAAAAAAAAACAAAAAAAACCCACCAAAAAAGACAAACUGCACUGAUCUGAGUUUAAAAUUAAAUAAACCUAUUUUAGCAAAAAAGGACUGAAAAAAAAGUAAGUUACUUAAGCCAUUAAAAUAUUAAGAAAUUUGAAUUGUUCACUAUUUCUGUUUCCAGUUGCGAUAUUUGUCUUGGUGUAUAUAUGGUUACUCCAACAGAACUGAUAUUAUUUUGUUUUUAAUAAAUAUAAAUCUGAAAUUUUUAUAUUUAGAAAUGCUUGAACUACUUUGUUUUUAAUCUCAAAAUUCUAGUUACCAAAAUAGAAAGAAGGUAUUUUGAUACAAUGUAUAUAUGUAUAAGUUUUUUAUAUAUAGUUUCAUAAUUUUCCUAUUUAAAUGUUCUAUAAUUGUGGUGUUAGUUUUUGUUUUCAUAGCAAUUAAGCUUAAUUGUUCCCACUUCCUUUCUAAAUACCUGUUUAGAAAGUCGCUUCAAUUUUUAGAAAGAUAGACCAUUUAAAAUGCUAUUUUCUCUGGCCAUGGAACAACUUAUCUUAGGAAAGCAUUGUGUAGCAAAACUACUUUAUUCAGGCUAAAUGGGAAAUGAAUAUGUGCAGUAUGUUCCUGUUAUCUGCUAAGUGUUGUUACUGAGUAAAUGAUUUGAUAUUUCUAAAAGUCUUAACACUUUUUUACUACUCAAAAACGUUUCAUUGGAAAUAACAAAUUGUGCUUCAAUUUA